CCAGUGGAUCAGUUCAUUCUCUAAUCAGUUUAAUCCAAAGGUCCAUAUAUAAACUGAUUAGAGAAUGAACUGAUCUACUGGG